rnacentral:rRNA from 1 species
AGUGAACGCUGGCGGUAGGCCUAACACAUGCAAGUCGAACGGCAGCACAGUAAGAGCUUGCUCUUACGGGUGGCGAGUGGCGGACGGGUGAGGAAUACAUCGGAAUCUACUUUUUCGUGGGGGAUAACGUAGGGAAACUUACGCUAAUACCGCAUACGACCUACGGGUGAAAGCAGGGGAUCUUCGGACCUUGCGCGAUUGAAUGAGCCGAUGUCGGAUUAGCUAGUUGGCGGGGUAAAGGCCCACCAAGGCGACGAUCCGUAGCUGGUCUGAGAGGAUGAUCAGCCACACUGGAACUGAGACACGGUCCAGACGCCUACGGGAGGCAGCAGUGGGGAAUAUUGGACAAUGGGCGCAAGCCUGAUCCAGCCAUACCGCGUGGGUGAAGAAGGCCUUCGGGUUGUAUAGCCCUUUUGUUGGGAAAGAAAAGCAGCAGGUUAAUACCCCGCUGUUCUGACGGUACCCAAAGAAUAAGCACCGGCUAACUUCGUG